rnacentral:rRNA from 1 species
GACGAACGCUGGCGGCGUGCUUAACACAUGCAAGUCGAACGGAAAGGCCCUGCUUUUGUGGGGUGCUCGAGUGGCGAACGGGUGAGUAACACGUGAGUAACCUGCCCUUGACUUUGGGAUAACUUCAGGAAACUGGGGCUAAUACCGGAUAGGAGCUCCUGCUGCAUGGUGGGGGUUGGAAAGUUUCGGCGGUUGGGGAUGGACUCGCGGCUUAUCAGCUUGUUGGUGGGGUAGUGGCUUACCAAGGCUUUGACGGGUAGCCGGCCUGAGAGGGUGACCGGCCACAGUGGGACUGAGAUACGGCCCAGACUACUAAGGGAGGCAGCAGUGGGGAAUAUUGCACAAUGGGCGGAAGCCUGAUGCAGCAACGCCGCGUGCGGGAUGACGGCCUUCGGGUUGUAAACCGCUUUCGCCUGUGACGAAGCGUGAGUGACGGUAAUGGGUAAAGAAGCACCGGCUAACUACGUG